rnacentral:rRNA from 1 species
UAGGGAAUCUUCGGCAAUGGACGAAAGUCUGACCGAGCAACGCCGCGUGAGUGAAGAAGGUUUUCGGAUCGUAAAACUCUGUUGUUAGAGAAGAACAAGGACGUUAGUAACUGAACGUCCCCUGACGGUAUCUAACCAGAAAGCCACGGCUAACUACGUGCCAGCAGCCGCGGUAAUACGUAGGUGGCAAGCGUUGUCCGGAUUUAUUGGGCGUAAAGCGAGCGCAGGCGGUUUCUUAAGUCUGAUGUGAAAGCCCCCGGCUCAACCGGGGAGAGUCAUUGGAAACUGGGAGACUUGAGUGCAGAAGAGGAGAGUGGAAUUCCAUGUGUAGCAGUGAAAUGCGUAGAUAUAUGGAGGAACACCAGUGGCGAAGGCGGCUCUCUGGUCUGUAACUGACGCUGAGGCUCGAAAGCGUGGGGAGCAAACAGG